rnacentral:rRNA from 1 species
CGAGCGGCGAACGGGUGAGUAACACGUGAGUAACCUGCCCCUGACUCUGGGAUAAGCCCGGGAAACUGGGUCUAAUACCGGAUACGACCACUUCAGGCAUCUGAUGGUGGUGGAAAGAUUUCUCGGUUGGGGAUGGACUCGCGGCCUAUCAGCUUGUUGGUGGGGUAGUGGCCUACCAAGGCGACGACGGGUAGCCGGCCUGAGAGGGCGACCGGCCACACUGGGACUGAGACACGGCCCAGACUCCUACGGGAGGCAGCAGUGGGGAAUAUUGCGCAAUGGGCGGAAGCCUGACGCAGCGACGCCGCGUGGGGGAUGACGGCCUUCGGGUUGUAAACCUCUUUCAGCAGGGACGAAGUUGACGUGUACCUGCAGAAGAAGCGCCGGCUAACUACGUGCCAGCAGCCGCGGUAAUACGUAGGGCGCAAGCGUUGUCCGGAAUUAUUGGGCGUAAAGAGCUCGUAGGUGGCUGGUCGCGUCUGCCGUGAAAGCCCGCAGCUUAACUGCGGGUCUGCGGUGGAUACGGGCCGGCUAGAGGUAGGCAGGGGCAAGUGGAAUUCCUGGUGUAGCGGUGAAAUGCGCAGAUAUCAGGAGGAACACCGGUGGCGAAGGCGGCUUGCUGGGCCUUACCUGACGCUGAGGAGCGAAAGCGUGGGGAGCGAACAGGAUUAGAUACCCUGGUAGUCCACGCCGUAAACGU